rnacentral:rRNA from 1 species
GGACCAAGGAGUCUAGCAUGUGCGCGAGUCAUUGGGACAUAACUAAACCUAAAGGCGUAAUGAAAGUAAAGAUCCGCCUUGCGCGGAUCGAGGGAAGAUGGGCGGUUUGCGUAUUCCGUAGCCGCUCCGCACUCCCGGGGCGUCUCGUUCUCAUUGCGAGAAGAGGCGCACCAAGAGCGUACACGCUGGGACCCGAAAGAUGGUGAACUAUGCCUGGUCAGGACGAAGUCAGGGGAAACCCUGAUGGAGGUCCGUAGCGAUUCUGACGUGCAAAUCGAUCGUCGGAACUGGGUAUAGGGGCGAAAGACUAAUCGAACCAUCUAGUAGCUGGUUCCCUCCGAAGUUUCCCUCAGGAUAGCUGGCGCUCGUUGCGUACGAGUUUCAUCCGGUAAAGCGAAUGAUUAGAGGCAUUGGGGUCGAAACGACUUCAACCUAUUCUCAAACUUUAAAUGGGUGAGAUCUCCGGCUUGCUCGAACAUGAAGCCGCGAGACUCGAAUCAGAGUGCCAAGUGGGCCAUUUUUGGUAAGCAGAACUGGCGCUGUGGGAUGAACCAAACGCCGAGUUAAAGCGCCUAAAUCGACGCUUAUGGGAUACCAUGAAAGGCGUUGGUAACUUAAGACAGCAGGACGGUGGCCAUGGAAGUCGGAAU